AGAGGUGACAUGGGCCCUCCAGGGACUCCAGGUGAAUGGGGACCAAAAGGGUGUCUUGGCUUAAGGGGAUUUGAGGGAGUCAGUGGACCAUCGGGGUCUGCAGGAAAUCCUGGAGCAAAAGGGAUUGAUGGCAUCAUGGGAGAGGAAGGGAGGCAGGGAAGAGACGGACUUAAGGGAUAUCGAGGACUAACUGGUAUUCAAGGGACUCCUGGACCUCGAGGUGAUAAGGGUCGAGAAGGUCGAGUAGGGUUUUCUGGGCUGCCUGGUCCUUUUGGAGUGAUGGGAAAAUCUGGAGAAAGGGGACCCGAUGGAGAACCUGGGCAGAACUGGAAUACCCGGGAUAACUGGACUUAAAGGACUGAAGGGGUUUCAAGGCCAUUUGGGGGCCAAAGGACAGGAGGGGUCAGGUGGAGCUCUGGUGAGCAUGACCAUCACUGUUAGAAUUUGUCCAAACAUGUCUCAUCCCAUGAAGUUUGAAGGCCCAGGACAAGCUAAUCACCCUCAAUUACAGAUUUUUUAUGUU
rnacentral:lncRNA from 1 species